GGUAAUUCCAGCUCCAAUAGCGUAUAUUAAAGUUGUUGCAGUUAAAACGUUCGUAGUUGAAUUUGUGUUCCACACGGGCAGUACACCUAAAUCUUGGGUUUGUACAUUGCCUUAAAAUUAAAAAUGUGUGUGAACGUAUUACCGGCUGAAUUUAUAUUUUUAAUAUGAAUUCACAUAUUAUAUGUCCUACUUCAGUGCUCUUAAUCGAGUGCUGUUGUGGGCCGGUACAAUUACUUUGAACAAAUUAGAGUGCUUAAAGCAGGCUUUUAAUGCCUGAAUAUUUGUGCAUGGAAUAAUGGAAGAGGACAUCUGUUCUAUUUUCUAUUGGUUUUUAGAUCAAGAUGUAAUGAUUAAUAGAAGCAGUUGGGGGCAUUAGUAUUACGACGCGAGAGGUGAAAUUCUUGGACCGUCGUAAGACUGACUAAAGCGAAAGCAUUUGCCAAAUAUGUUUUCAUUAAUCAAGAACGAAAGUUAGAGGUUCGAAGGCGAUCAGAUACCGCCCUAGUUCUAACCAUAAACGAUGUCAGCUAGCAAUUGAAUGUAGCUACUACUAUGGCUCUUUCAGACGCUUCUCGGGAAACCAAAGCUUUUGGGCUCCGGGGGAAGUAUGGUUGCAAAGCUGAAACUUAAAGGAAUUGACGGAAGGGCACCACCAGGAGUGGAGCCUGCGGCUUAAUUUGACUCAACACGGGAAAACUUACCAGGUCCGAACAUAAAUAAGUAAGACAGAUUGAUAGCUCUUUCUCGAAUCUAUGGGUGGUGGUGCAUGGCCGUUCUUAGUUCGUGGAGUGAUUUGUCUGGUUAAUUCCGAUAACGAACGAGACUCAAAUAUAUUAAAUAGAUGCAUUCAGGAUUAUGGUGUUGAAGCUUAUAUGCUCGCCUGUUUUCGUUCCUCACGGUGCGUUUGCAGUUGUGUAUGUAUGUAAGUGGAGCCAUACCUGUUUGUUUGUCUAAUUAAAAAUAGACACUAGCUUCUUAAAUGGACAAAUUG
rnacentral:rRNA from 1 species